rnacentral:lncRNA from 1 species
UUCUUGCUUAUCUGAAUCCUAAUCUCCUGUCAAACAACAUUGAAGAGAAAGAUCAAAAUCAAUCGGUUAACCUACCUCAAAACUUCUUUAUAUAUGUUGCCUCAUCUCUCGCCCUUUUCAUUCUCUCAAGCACGCAAGAAAAGGAAAUUAAGCAAAGUUCCAAAUAGCAGCAGUGUUGGAUAGCUCAAGACAUCAGUUGGGCAAACAUGUUUAAGGUGCACUCAAGUUUCAAUAUUUCAUCGUCUUCAAUAAUGAGGUAUUCAAUUAUUAUCACUCAAGUUUAAGGUGCCCAAUAGAAAGAACUUUUGGUGUAUGGAAGAAUAGAUUUGCAAUUCUACGACGCAUGCCUAAAUUCACAAUUAUGACACAGGUUCAAGUGGUUAUUGCAACAAUGGACACAACUUUAUUAGAAUGAAUGCUGAUA